AAACAACCCUCUAUGUUUUGAUUCUUUUGGCCCCCCAAGGCAAAAAAAUAAAUAAAAUUUUUGACACGUGGCACCUCACUUAGGGUGCCACGUCAGAGUUGACCGAAUCAACAAUGGACUGGGGGUCCAAAACUGCCAAAAAAUUAAAACUAGGGGGCUGUUU
rnacentral:pre_miRNA from 1 species